CAGUUUAACCUUUAUUGUAUGCAGUCCACCUUAAGUCUCUUUAAUCUGUAUUAUACAGUCUAAAUUUAACCUGCACUAUACACAGCCUAUGUUAAAUUAGUUGAAUCUGUAUAGACAGUCUAUGUUAAGUCCUUUCGACCUGUACUUUAUACAGUCUAUGUGCUUUACAACCACACCGGAGCUCCACUGGCAUUAUUCUACCUGCCUUUAACUGUUGUAGAGCUAGCGUGAUACACUUCUAAACAAGGGUUUUAAUCCAUUGGGUGCCUUUUGAAAUGGGGCUUGUCUUUGAUUUAAUGCCGUUUUAGCUAGGCUAUUGUUUAGAGCAGGGCACUUUGUUUGCUAAGCAUUGUGAGGAGCAUGGUUCCUGUCUCAUAGGUAGGUAUACACCGCUUGACACACGGGGCUCCGGUGAUCGCGUCUUGGUGAAGACAAAAAUCAUCAAACCAGAGGGUUGAAAUGGGAAGAUAUAAUCCCUUUUCUGAUGCGAGAACAAGCUAAUCUGCUUACUGCCUCUGCAGUGAAUUGGCAGGGCCAUCGCUCCCCGUAUGCAGAGCACGCAGAGCACGUAGGGCCCCAAGUACCUUGCGGGGCCCCCCAAAAUUAAGUAAAUCCGAACUACUAGAUGGCAUCGACAGUGUCCUUGGUCCCCUUGCCUCCUACAGCUGCCCUUUUGUUAGAUACCUCAGAGUUAUUUUGGACAAUGGUUUUAAAUUUGACAAGCAAAUAUGCUCAGUCGUCA
ensembl:lncRNA